UUUAAUGCACUUUUAAUAUAAUAUUUGUUGCUGAGUCAAUGCAUAAACCAGGACCAUCUGUAAAGUCAAAAUUGGAAAUGGGAUUGAAAUAGCUUUGAGUCAGUGUGUCCGUCCUGUCAACAAGAUGCAGCUUUAGUAACUAAGAUAUUGAAAUAUUUCCAGAUCAGUUAUUAAUAUUGUACUACCAAAUGACAGAUGUUUUGUUGAUAUCUUGAGAUUGAACAUGUGCUGCACAGUAAACACAUUGUUAUUCUAGUCAACUUUUCAAUUAGAAAGUAGUUACUUUGACACCACAGUGUUAUUUAAAGGAAACAUAUUCACUUCCUCAAUGCUCUUUAUUAAAGAGUGUUUAGAUCAUGUGGUUGCAUUGUGUGUUCAGUCAGAUGUCUGUUAGAAGGAGGAAGUCAGUUCAGUCUCAAAGAUUUAUCACAGCUCUGAGGAUGACGAGGAUUGUUGCCUGUCUGUUCUGUGUCUUAAAACUGUGUGUUGGAGCUGAGGCUUUGACAGAGACACUGGUAGAACUUGGACACAAUGCAACACUGAACUGUUCUCUUAAUAAUGUAACUGAUGCACAUUGGUACCUACAUCGCCAACCACAGCCUCCACUGGCCCUACUCCGCUCUUUCAGUAGUAGGAGUCCUGCUGCAUUUUAUUACAAUAAUAAUUAUAGACAGAAAUAUUCAUUAGAAACGGGACAUAGAUUGUUAAUACAGAAUGUAACAGUAGAUGAUUGUGGAGUGUACUACUGUGCAAAGAAAGAAAACGAUUGUUUCCUUUUCAGCAACGGCACCAGACUCAUGACCCCUGUUGAUCCUGAAGCAACAGAGCAACCCAGAGACUUCAAUACAACAUGGCUAAAGGGUCUUCUCAUUGGAUCCGGGGUCUUGAAUGCAGUGCUCAUUUUAUUGGUGUCAGCCAUUUCAGUGCUGUGGAAGAGAGCUGCUUGCCAGAAGAACCAUGACUCUCCUCCAACCCCUGAACCACCUGAAAGGACAGACAGUCUAGAGUAUGAAGUGAUACAGCUGGUACCCCAAGCGAGAGGACUAAGGCCCGACCACAUAGCCUCAACUAUUUACUCAAGAGUCCAGUUUCCAAAUCAUGAACUCACAACUACUACUUAAUAAGGUGCCAAAUCUUGACUUUGAUGGAUAAUGUGAACUAGAAAAUGACUUUGGUAGAUAAAGUGAAUCUACUCUGAAUAUUCAUAUUUUUGUGUAAUGUAUUUAGUGAUGCUCUUCGUCACUAUCGUCUAUAUUACCAGUCAGCAAUAUCUUUGAAGGAAAUUAUUACUUUUGUGUCUUGAUUCAUGUUUUUCAUUUUUCAUUGCUGGAAAUAAGUUCAUAUUUUCCUGUCUUGAAAGUAAACUGUUCCUUUUUUUGUGAAGCAGUUAGGAAGAGGUUUAUGCAUUUCUGUAGAAAAAGCCCCCAAGCCUUUUGUAGUGUAUUGAUGCUGCAUCAACCACACAUAUCCUGUUUGAGAGCUUAGCUACAUGUCCCAAUUACUGUACAAUAAACACUUUUUGAUGAUUUGUACAAGCUUUCAAUUAGUUCAUUAGAAAGCCUACUUCAUGUGCCCCAUAACACCUUUCUGAGUAGAAGGUAGUGUCACAACUUCUGCCGAGGUCGGUCCCUCUCCUUGUUCGGGCGGCGUUCGGCGGUUGACGUCACCGGUCUUCUAGCCAUCGUCGCUCCACCUUUCAUUUUCCAUUUAUUUUGUCUUAUUUACCUGGUUCACAUUCCCUCAUCAGAUUAAAUGUAUAUUACCAUCUGUUUCCCCCAUGUCUGUGUGUGGAAUUGUUCUUUGUGUAGGGUGUUACGCUACAGGCUGGCUUGCGCUAGGUUUGUUUCAAACCUAGGUUUGUUUGUUUUGUUUAACCCGGUUCAUGUUCCCGUGGUUGUGCUUUGUGCUGCCUCGCCUGUGCCUUUGGGCCAGGGUGUAUAUUAAAGUUCUCCUGUUAUCACCCA